UACGUAGGCAGCAAGCGUUGUUCGGAAUCACUGGGCUUAAAGCGCGUGUAGGUGGGACGGUAAGUACCGUGUGAAAUCCCCGGGCUCAACCCGGGAACCGCUCGGUAUACUGUCGUCCUUGAGGCAGGUAGGGGUCGCUGGAACCUUAGGUGGAGCGGUGAAAUGCGUAGAUAUCUAAGGGAACGCCUGUGGCGAAAGCGGGUGACUGGGCCUGUCCUGACACUGAGACGCGAAAGCGUAGGGAGCGAACGGG
rnacentral:rRNA from 1 species